UAGCAUCAGUUCAGUUCUUAUACACAAGUAACUAAACGUCUAGUGCCACCAUGCUGUCUCUCUGUUGCCUUCUUUUUGCGAUUGCUUCAGUUUCUGCUGGACAUGAAACGCAGAUCGUCGGUGGAUCUCAAGCACGAAACUGUGAAUUUCCAUCUAUUGUCCAUCUCUAAAUAUUUAACCAACCCACAGAUGACAGGAUUAGUGUAUGUGGAGGUACUUUGAUUGAUCCUACACAUG